rnacentral:rRNA from 1 species
AUUGAACGCUGGCGGAAUGCUUUACACAUGCAAGUCGAACGAUGAACCUUAGCUUGCUAGGGGGAUUAGUGGCGAACGGGUGAGUAACAUAUCGGAACGUACCUAGUAAUGGGGGAUAACUAGUCGAAAGAUUAGCUAAUACCGCAUACGCCCUGAGGGGGAAAGUAGGGGAUCUUCGGACCUUACGUUAUUAGAGCGGCCGAUAUCUGAUUAGCUAGUUGGUGGGGUAAAGGCCUACCAAGGCGACGAUCAGUAGCUGGUCUGAGAGGACGACCAGCGACACUGGAACUGAGACACGGUCCAGACUCCUACGGGAGGCAGCAGUUGGGAAUUUUGGACAAUGGGGGCAACCCUGAUCCAGCCAUUCCGCGUGAGUGAAGAAGGCCUUCGGGUUGUAAAGCUCUUUCGCAAGGGAAGAAAACUUACAUUCUAAUAAAGUGUGAGGCUGACGGUACCUUGAUAAGAAGCACCGGCUAACUACGUGCCAGCCGCCGCAGUAA